rnacentral:snoRNA from 1 species
GGGCUCCUGGUGCUUACUCCAAGUUGUGUUCUUACACUGACUGUAUAGAAGUAGGAGGCAAAGUAAACCUACCCCAUGUAUACCUCAGCCCAGGCCCUGUGUCUGGUCUGUAUUAUAAAUGGGGAGACAUAG